CUGCAUCAAUCUAGUUCCAGUACUAAUGACUUCUUGUUUCUCUUAUAGACCACCCAUCACUCAAAUGGCCCUCCAGCCUGUUACUCCUCAAUCAAACUUCUGUCAUGGACCACUCGAAGACGCGAUUUUUAAAAGGGGGACUCCAAACUGCUUGCUCAACAUCACCCCCUUUCAGCUCGAAGAAGCCAGAACUGUCUUUGCCCCCUUUCCUUACAGCAGUAAGGAGUUCCCAAAAUUAGAAGGGGGAAUGAAGCCAGAUUUAAAGAUAGGUAGUUAGUGUAGUUAGGUAAAUCGGGUCUAAUAUCGAGUAAAAUGGAAAAUGAAGGCCAUUUUGAGAAUGGAGUCCCAGAAAAGCAGAACAACACUUGCAAUGUUAAUGUCCCCAAGGCUCAGAGCCCAUCCCAAAGAAAUGUUAAUGAAACAGCUCCCAGCAAACAUGGAGAUGCUAAUCCAAAAAUCCUUCCUGCCCAGAUUACUCCUUUGGCCCAAGUGUGCCCC
rnacentral:lncRNA from 1 species